rnacentral:lncRNA from 1 species
GGCCGCACUGCUGCUCCCUUGUGGUCGUCGCUGUCGUCUUGUGGGAGGCUAGUCCGCUCGCUCGCGCAGCUGUCUGACGGUCGGUCGGUGUGUCGGUCCGCCCGGGGCCUGUCUGCGGGCCUUCUCCGCGCACGCCCUCUCCGGGCAGCUGAGCCCGGCCCGUCCCGGCCCCGCGCGCGUCCCCGGGCGGAGUGUGGGGCAGCUGCGUGGGGCGCGGGGGAUGCGGCGCGAGCGCAGCCUGGGGCUGGGGGCGCCUGCCGAGCCUGCCUGACCCCGACAGGCUGCUGUCCCUGAGCCCCAGGAGCAGCACCCGCUCCUCUGGGCCUGGCCUGGGGCCCGGGAGGCUGCAGAGGUGCCCACGCCUCCAGGGGACGCUGCCGAGGGGCGCCAUGGAGACCCCUGCCGCGAAACCCCAGGAGACAGAUCUCUGCUCAAACUCCGAUUCACAUACCUGGCUGUGUACCUGGCGCUUCCACUUGGAUAUCUAAGACUCUUCACCUUCGAUGUCUAAAGUGACUCCCGCCCUCUCCGCAGACCUCGUUCCUCUGCGCUGUUUCCCAUCUCAACAAUGUAUCCAGGUUCUGAGCCUUCUCAGUUCUCCCCUGCUCGGCACUGUCCCUCCCUGGAUUGUUGGAACAGCCCCUCCGCCGUCUCCCUGCUUCUACUUGUCCCACCGCCGACCUGCUCUCCACACAGUACUGGACCAUCCUGGUACAGGGUGGGCCAGACCACGUCCCCUGCCUGCUGUGAAUCCUCCGUGGACUCCUGUCCCCAGAGUGGAAGCCGAGGUCUCACCAUGCACGGCCUCUGAGGUCCUGUGCCAUCUGAUCCCCAGUUGUGAGUUCCAGCUCCAUCUCCUCUCCCUCCCUCCCCCAACGUCACUGGUCACACUGGCAUCUGCUGUAUCUGGAACUAGGCACGCUCCAGGUGCUAGUCCCUCUGUCGGAGAUGCUUUCUCCCAGAUAUCCACGUGGCUGGCUUCCUCGCUCUUUGUGACCUUCUCAUAAGGAAGCCUUUUCUGGACAUCGUCUCUAAGAUUGUAGCCCUUCCUUGCUUUAUUUUUCUCCUUAUCUCUUCAGUGUCUGUAUUAAUUAUCUAUUCCUGCAUAAUAAAUUACCCUGAAUUUUAGAGACUUAAAGCAACAAUAAACAUUUUUUAUUUCAC